GCCCGGGCGACGCCGGAGUUGCAGUUGGAGGCUGCGGGAAUACAAAGUGACACUGACUGCCGGGUAACUGUCUCUCAGGACAUUUGUGCUUUGAGUCUCUGCAACUCUGGACCAUCUCUGCAGGCUAAAAGAUGUGCCUGUUGCUAAGAGGAGGAGCCCUGCAGCAGGAAUCCGGUGCCAGCUGACCUGGAACAACCUGAUCUCCAGAAAGCAUCCCUGUUAUACUCAAAUGGGCCUUCCAGAUGAGCCCUGUAAGGAUAUGCAUGAUAGCAAAAGCUCAGGACAGCCUUUUUAUGUUACUGUUGUUCUUAACUUUUGACUUACUCCCUUUAGGGAUCCAGCCUUUACUGUUGUUCUUAACUUUUGACUUAUUCUCUUUAGGGAUCCAGCCUUUCUUUGACUAUGAACCUAAACGUAAGAAAGAGAAGUUUCUUGACUCCCUAAAAACGAGUCAUAAUGCUUUCUGAAACUGAGUCUCUUCUGCUUCUGGAAACUGAGUCUUAGUGCAAAGAAAUCCCUCUGUAUUUUCUUG
rnacentral:lncRNA from 1 species